rnacentral:rRNA from 2 species
CGAACUCUGGUAUUGAUUGGUGCUUGCAUCAUGAUUUACAUUUGAGUGAGUGGCGAACUGGUGAGUAACACGUGGGAAACCUGCCCAGAAGCGGGGGAUAACACCUGGAAACAGAUGCUAAUACCGCAUAACAACUUGGACCGCAUGGUCCGAGCUUGAAAGAUGGCUUCGGCUAUCACUUUUGGAUGGUCCCGCGGCGUAUUAGCUAGAUGGUGGGGUAACGGCUCACCAUGGCAAUGAUACGUAGCCGACCUGAGAGGGUAAUCGGCCACAUUGGGACUGAGACACGGCCCAAACUCCUACGGGAGGCAGCAGUAGGGAAUCUUCCACAAUGGACGAAAGUCUGAUGGAGCAACGCCGCGUGAGUGAAGAAGGGUUUCGGCUCGUAAAACUCUGUUGUUAAAGAAGAACAUAUCUGAGAGUAACUGUUCAGGUAUUGACGGUAUUUAACCAGAAAGCCACGGCUAACUACGUGCCAGCAGCCGCGGUAAUACGUAGGUGGCAAGCGUUGUCCGGAUUUAUUGGGCGUAAAGCGAGCGCAGGCGGUUUUUUAAGUCUGAUGUGAAAGCCUUCGGCUCAACCGAAGAAGUGCAUCGGAAACUGGGAAACUUGAGUGCAGAAGAGGACAGUGGAACUCCAUGUGUAGCGGUGAAAUGCGUAGAUAUAUGGAAGAACACCAGUGGCGAAGCGGCUGUCUGGUCUGUAACUGACGCUGAGGCUCGAAAGUAUGGGUAGCAAACA